GCGGGGCCCAACCGUUACCUUGGCAACCAAGGCCCAGCGUCCAAUUCGGCCUCAUAGCCGCCGCCGUCCCGUUCCCCCUCCCCCGAAAAAAAAAACACUGAACAGCAAAAUUGUCCUUUGUUUGCUCAGCAGAAUUUAACAUGAUUUAAAAAAAAUAAACCGACGUGGAAUAAAAAAGAAUUAAAUGUUUAAGAAUUGGGCAGGGUCAAAGAUUAUAAGAUGGCGGCGCCGACGGUUUGAGGUUAUGAAACUGCACUGAGCAGAUCUGUGGGAUGACCGAAGCUGAGCUCCUUUACUUUGUAAACUGUCUGGGUGUGCUAGUCUUUCUGCUUGCUGUUCUCUACCACUGGGUCGAUAUUGUACACACUGGGUCCCCAGUCUUCAAACAAAAUUUCUAUGACGCUAGGCCAACGAGAAGUUUUCACAACCAGUGCCGAAGGCGGGUAUACACACGUAGCAUCUCGAUGAGUGACUCAGAUUUCCCAGGAGACAUCCAACGUCGAAACAUCCAUGUUACACUCAAAUCCUGACGUGUUCAGAACAUGUCAGUAAAAAAACAGACACGCAGAACAACUAACAAGGGGGCAGUUUGUAUAGUAAGGACCGACAGGAGCCUGCCUUUUCACUGACGAACACGAAUGUGAAGUGUUACAGGCUUAUCCUUUCAGCUCCAGUCUAGAACCUGAGCAUGUAAUCCAGAGUGCUACUUCAGUGCAGUACUGAGGGAUUGCUCCCCCAUCGUCUUUAAGGAGAAACGGCCUCAACUGUCUGUCCCAGUAACUCGUGUUCCUUCCUUGGCCAACUUAAAAAUAUUUUAAAACAAAAACAGAAUUACCUGGAAAAACUCAGCAGGUCCGGCAGCAUCGGCGGAGAAGAAAAGAGCCGACGUUUCGAGUCCUCACUGGUUGCUGUUCAUGGGAUUCUGCUUUGUGCAGAAAUGGUUGUUUGUUUAAAUCGCUAAUGGUGACUACAUUUCAAAUUUUGCACAGAGCACUUUGAAAUAUUUCUGACGGGUGUGAUAGGUAUAUCAUGCAAGCUCUUCUUCUCAUCAAACCUGAUUGAGAGUGCACUGAGUAGCUUUGUCCUCUGAAUUUCAUCAGUAUGCUAUUUUGCUGCAAACAAACAGAGAGCCAAGUGCAGCAUAGCACAAAGGAAAUGUAAACUGUGGGAACAGAGGAUAAUACUGUGCGGUUUGGUGCCUCAGAAAUACUGACUGAUCGUUCGCCUUUUUCUGGUGUUGUUGCAACAACUGCUCUCUUCAUCCUGCGCCCAGAGACUUGGAUCUUUCCCAUGUCCGGCACGAUCUGAAAGUCGGGAAGGCAACAAUCUGCUUUUUCCAUAUUCCGAAUCUUGCGGUUUCCCAAUCAGAUAGUCUUCAAUUAAAUCUCACUACGCCCCUGGCAAAUUGGAAAAGGGAUUCACUGCGGCAGAUACAUCACCUCUCAUGGGCUAGCACUGAAUUGCAACACUGACCUCCGCUGGUUCUCUCACAUCACUCCCUGCGGCAUUGAGGGAAAAGGGGUCACGUCCCUGAGCCGA